AAAUUCUUGGAGGAACAGUCUGAUCGUAAUUUUCAGAAAUUUACAUCAUUCUGCUAUUGCUUGGGGAAUGGGAAAUUGUUGUCUCACGAAAUAAUUGGUCCUGAUACUUGGGACAUCGAAAUCCUUGUCAAAAUCAAAGCACUCGUUGGAGCACGGUUCAGCAAACCCACACACACGUCAUACAUGUCACUUUUGAGCAUUGACUAAGUCAAC
rnacentral:lncRNA from 1 species